rnacentral:lncRNA from 10 species
UUUAUUUUGAAAGCACUUUGAGAAGCACUUCACUGUCAAAUCUGUAGGUCUAAAAGGAAAAGCAUACAUACACAUAAUUGAUUUCACAUUGUUUUACAUUUCCUUUGUCUUCUUCUGGAAUGUCAUCUUUUUUCUUGGUUUCUCUUUCAGCACAGGAUCUAAUCUAGAUAUUGGAAAAGAGAAUCCAAUGGGUUAUAUGUUUAUCUUCCACCUUCCCCACUUUACGUAUCACAUAAGAACAUUCGAGAUGAUUUCUUAUGCAGAAGAAAAAAUUAACUGAGCAACUAUAUUCAGAAAAAGACAGGUUCUGGCUAUGUGUUUUUACUUCAUAUAUAUAAUCUAUAUGAGUAAGUGCUAUCACAUGCUUCCUCCGCAGCCCUUGUGUCAGAAACACUACAGACAAAAUUAUUUCAGAAACAUUUUACACAUCAGAUCCUGUUAGGCAGUAAAGCAAUCAUUAACUAAUUUAAUUUUGUCCUCCAAGUCAAUACACUAGGAUCAAAUUAUCCCUAGUAGACAAGUGUUCAUUUGAUCAAAUUGAAAGCUUAAUAGCUAUUUUAGAUUGCACAGACUAUUACCAAAGUAUUAAAACUUUUAACAUUACACAACUUCUUUUUAAUUAAUUGGAACCCACCUCUUUUACUAGCUUCUUAUAUCCUCCUAAGUUUGGAUAGAUGUUUACUAUCACAUGUCAUAAGUUAAUUGAUCUGCAUUCAACAAUUAGGAUCACCCACAGAACAGGCAAUUGGCAAUGGUAAGGACUCAUGUCUCCUAAGGGAUCUCUGUGGCCAGAGUCUAGUUCCAGGGCUGCUUAGAAAGUGAUGACAAAUAACAUGUUUGUGCCAAUGACAUCUUUGUGACAGUUUUGAUUAGAGGGGUCCCAGACCUGAAAACAUUCCCUGCUAAGGCCUGUAGCACAAUGCUACCUUUAGUAAGAGGGAUCUGUGUUCUGAUAGAUAAGGCAAGGUCAUAAAGGUGAAGGGCUGACAGAGAUUAGGAGAGCCUGUAAUUAAAUGGUACAAAAAGAGUCCUAAAUAAUCACUGUUCAGAACUUCCAAGUACUUGACUAACCAAAGAGACCCAGAAAACUUUGUAUUUCAUCUGAAAAUUGCUUUAAAUAGUGAAAAAUGCAAUCUUUGUGUAAGUAUCUUUGUAUCUUUGUAUAAGUGCAAAGCACUGCACAUAUAUUUGCAAUUGUUGCCUUCAAUAACACUUUUGUGAUGAUAUCCAGAUGAAAAAUAAUUUAAACAUGAUACAAUAAAAUAUAAAUAAAUUAAAUUAAAUGUAAGUCACAAACCCAUCUGCAUUUCCUCAAUGACCUGUUUCCUGAGAAGCAAUGUGCUAUGAAAUACUGAGACUGGCCUCUGGAGUCAGCUGGGCCUGGGUACACAUCCUGUCUUACCACACCUUGAAAUCACUGUGAUUUCCAUGAACUGACUGACAAAAACCACGAGGAUGUAAGGAGGGUCGGAGGCUGUCUUACUGUCUGUAAGGCUGAGCUCACAUCCACCUCACAGGAGCAUUAUGGAAAUUCAAGACUACAACGCAUGUGCCGGAUGCAUGCAAUGAAAAAAUAUAACACUUCACUUCUCUAACUGUAAGAAAAUACC